CACAGAGACAGACUCAGUCACAUUAGACUGUCAGAUUCCAUCGUCUGUUUCUGUGUCUGAGUGUUACUUCAUCAUUUCAAGAAAACCUGCAGAAAAGUUUUCUUGUCUGAAGACAGUGAAUGGAACUGAACUGCUGUCGUUGGCACAAAAAAGUCCACCUGCUACAGUUGAAGUGACGUGUUUUUACCUGAUUUCACAUCAAUCUCCACACAGUAACAUGGCCUCUGUCUCCAUAGAGCCUCCUCCACCUGAACUCAGAGUGAAUCCAGCAUCAGUCACAGAGACAGACUCUGUUGCAGUGAACUGUGUGACUCCACCAUCAGUGUCUGUGUCUGACUGUUAUUUAUACUCUCUGAGUACAAACACCUCCAAAGUCAUCUCUUGUCUGCAGACACUGACAGGAACUGAGCUUCUGUCGAUGGCGCAUCAAAGUUCACCUGCUGAGGUUGAAGUAACAUGUUUUUACACCAUAGGACAUUAUCAGUCUCCACACAGUCACAAAUCCACUAUUAGGGUUGAUGUCAAAUCCACGACAACUCAGAUGACAACUUUCAGGACGAC